GCAGCCACGGCCGAGUGGUUAAGGCGUCUGACUUGAAAUCAGAUAUGAUCUACUCGCGCAGGUUCGAAUCCUGCUGGUUGCG